UAUCUCUGUAGAGUCUGCAUAUCAAUAAGCGGAGGAAAAGAAACUAACAAGGAUUCCCCUAGUAACGGCGAGUGAAGCGGGGAAGAGCUCAAAUUUGAAUCUUCAAGGUUUGACCUUGACGAAUUGUAGUUUAAAGAAGUGUUUUCGAUUAGAGGAGUAGUAAAAGUUCUUUGGAAUAGGACAUCAUAGAGGGUGAGAAUCCCGUAUUUGACUAUUCUUUCUAGCUUUGUGAUACACUUUCAAAGAGUCGGAUUGUUUGGGAAUGCAGUCCAAAAUGGGUGGUAAAUUUCAUCUAAAGCUAAAUAUUGGCGAGGAGACCGAUAGCGAACAAGUACCGUGAGGGAAAGAUGAAAAGAACUUUGAAAAGAGAGUUAAACAGUACGUGAAAUUGUCAAAAGGGAAGCGUUUGACACCAGUGUUGUUUUUCCGAAAAUCAAUUAAAAAUUGAUUCAUGCCAGGUUGUAUUGACCUUAUCAGCUUGCAAUUUGGUUUUGGGUCUCUUUUUGAUGCACUUUUCGGUUAACAAGUCAACAUCAAUUUCCUUUGCUGUAAAAAGGUAAGAGGAAGGUGGCUUCAAUUUCGGUUGAAGUGUUUACAGCCUUUUAUCUCUGCAGUCGGGGAAAUUGAGGUCUGCAGCGUAGAUCCUUCGGGGCUAGAUACGUUUAUGCUAAGUUAUAGCUUUUCAUAGACAACUUGUUGACUAUGUUUAGUCAUGUAGCUUACUCGUAAGUGCUAUUUUACCUACGCUUAGGAUGUUGAAGACUCUACAGAGAUA
rnacentral:rRNA from 1 species